AAAAGUUGUGUGAUACCUGAGGUCAGCAGUGCCACAGGGGGUGCCGCUUUAGCUGACCCAUGCUGUGCCAUCCCUAUUUUCCAGCCAGUGCCUGAAGAUGUCAAGUUCUGCCCUAAAAAACAAGCAGAGCUUUUCCAGGAGCCACUUACAAGCAAGCAGAAGUCCACGGAAGUCAGAGUGUGCUGGAGUCAACAAGGAGAAUUGGGGCCUGAUUGCAGAAAGUGUGCAAAACAUGGGAGGAACAUGAAAGAGGCUGUUUUGCCAGGAACAUUAAGCCAUUACUCUAUAUUGCUACAUGCACUCCCAGGAAUAUUUCUAAACAAGAAGCGAAGCAUCUCUAACUGUUUAGAGGAAAUGUUAUUACACAAUGGAGGACAAAACAGGCAAGCUACUUCAAACAGGAUAAAUGGAUGAAGGCUUCAAGUCCUGGGUAUUGUUCCCUGGUGCAUUCCAAGCCCCCUCUAUGGAGAUCCAGCAGAGCUGAACAUACCAUCGCAUUGCUGCUGCAGGGCAUCGGCUUUCCUGAGGUCACGCUGGAUAAUGCCAAUAUAUAGCACAUAAACUGAUAACGAUGGUCUUGAUCUUUAAAAGAUCUGUAAAUAUUUGGAUGUGCAUAAAGAUACAGAAUACCUUUUAAGGCUCUCAUUGAACGAUCUGUAAAGCUACUCCCAGUCUUAAUGUGGUCAAAUCUCUCAAUGGGUGUAAACCCUGCCCCUCCUCCCCUCAUAUCUCGUUAGAUGAUAUGAAUCAAAUUGCAAGGGUGUCUGAAGUAAUCUGUUGUGUAAUCUGCACCCCUGACAGCCCGGUAAAACACCGGGGGUGGGACCAGGAAGAAAUAUUCACAGCACUUGAAGCUGUUAUUGUAGGAGUUACUGGAUACGGGUAGAAAUCCUUUAUUCCCACACCCACUGUGUCAUAACUGCCCCUUGGUGUCUUGCACUAGGUGGUAGGAAGAGUGGUGUCAGGACUGCAUUUACCAGGCAGCCUUGCAAACACCUCCUGCGCUUCCUACAUGCUCCUCUAGAGCUACUAGCAGAAAAGUUGCUCAAGUUAGAAGUAUGUAACAUUACUCAAUAUCAAUAUGAAAACACAGUCAUUUUAAUUAUUGCAUUGAUGUUAUUUUUUUAUUAUUAUUUAAACAUCACCAGCUCACAAAUUGUAUCCAGAUUCAAUACAGUAAAAAACACCAUGUUUUAAUUUGGGGAGGAAUUGUUGUUAAGUCAGAAGAGUUAAGGUAUUUCCCAAGGAACUUGUGUUUUUAUAUAUAUAUAUUUUUAAAAGCAAGCCAUGAUUGUUAAGAGAAGCUAGCUCCUGUGAACAACAUACACACUCGUAUUUUAAAUAGUAGGAUGAAGAAAAAAAAGAAUAAAAACCUUAGAGUUUUUCUAUCA
rnacentral:lncRNA from 1 species